ensembl:lncRNA
AUCUUCCUUGAUAAGUUUAUUAUUUCCUGUCCUGCCCACACUGGACUAAUAAACCGACCUUCAGCUGGGUUACUCCCUCCUCUGGUGGGCCUGGAGGUCAUGCUAUCCAGUGAGAAAUUACCCUCAACGGCUGCAGUUGUUAUACAAAAGCUGCCCAAUGGUUUCCAAGAGCUGAUAAAUUCGGGAGGCAGAUGAGGAUUGAAGUCUUCGCCAGCCUUCUAAAACCACAAAAAGUCUCAGCUUUUGGGAUGAGGAUGAGUAAUAGGAGGGACCCACGCCUGGCUUGGCCUCCUCCGUAUCAUAGAAUCAUAGAAUGGCCUUGGUAGAAAAGGACCACAAUGAUCAUCUGGUUUCAACCCCCCUGUUAUGUGCAGAGUCGCCAACCACCAGACCAGGCUGCCCAGUUACAGUGGUUUUCUAUCCAGAAGUUAACUGAAGGAUGUUAUGCCCACUGGGUCAGCAUCAAGUUUCAAGUCAUCAGGGACCAGCGUUUUAGGCUGUAAUUAUUUCCUUCCUUGCAGUGCUUAUCUCCUUGCACUGACUGGAGAGAGGGUUUCGCCACCACUCCAAACUAGCUGAGAAAUGAAUCAAUAUCAGUGAAUGACAGUGCAAGACUGCAUCCAACCAUACAUCCAACACCCUGCUAUAAGAGUGGGUAAAAGCAGAUGCUCAGGGAAGAGAAAGUGGAAAUAUUCAGCAUCCUCAACACUUUGCAGCAAGAAGUUCCACUGCUCUUGCAAAGAAAAAAACUCCAUUUGAGUUCGUUUUUAACUGAACUGAUCUGUCAUUAGCUUCCUUCAAUGGCCCUUCCUCUUCAAUGGCAAAAAGUUAAUCCUCUCCAUACUUCAGUAGAUUACCAGCCUUUAUUAUCCCUCCUCAGUUGUCACUAGCACAGGUUUAAUCCCUUCCCCAGCUUCUCAUUUCACUGCUGAAUUACUCCAAACUUAUGCAAGUAUCAGACAAUUGACUUGCAUGGUCAUCUGAACCUAGCUAUAGCAGUUACGCAAGGAGGAGGAAAAAACACAUUUCUGGAUUAUCUCGUGACGCUUUGCUGAUGCACACAUUUUUAUUGACUUCUGCUGGAUCAAUUUUUGAUGUCUGUGUAGGUUUUUUUUUUUAAGCAGACGCCAGCAAAUUUAUUUGGGAUUGACAACCUAGAUGUGUAGAGAGAUACAGUAGCACAGAUGUCACAGCAAUGAGACGCAAGGACACCAAGGAAGAUGAAAAUCUCGUGAUAUGGAAGGUGAAUAGCAUCCAGGCAAUUUUUUCUUCAACUUCAUAUCUCGUGAACAGAUUUUGAUACAUCUCCUUUUCCAGGAGCGUGAGAAAUCAGAUUCAAGUCCAUGAAGGCAUUCGUGACCCUGUGAGUUAAAGACGUUGGUGACUCUUUGUAGGACUGAAGACUCAACUAGCAAAAAGAACUUAUGAAUUCAAAUACGUUUGAACAAAUAGCUCUCAACUCCUUCUAUAUAAACUUUUUUUUUUUUUCCCCCCCCACAUAUGAGACUUUCUAUUUUUGUUUGUCUCAUUUUUGACCAAACCUUUGUUUUGGUUGAAUGUCUUGAAUUUCCUUUGUUGUGAUUGAGAAGAUACUUCCAAAAAAGGAAAGAAAGGAAAACUCAGUGGCUUUUUUCUCUGGCUGACUUUAUUUCAUAGUAAAUGAAGAGGAUUUAUUUUUGUGCACGCUUGUAUAUUAUUUCUGAAGAGCUACAGAAUAUCAGGGAAAUAAACAGAUUGCCC